UCGAGAGGCUUCGGCAAUGGGGGAAACCCUGACCGAGCGACGCCGCGUGGAGGAUGAAGGCCUUUGGGUUGUAAACUCCUGCCAUGAGGGAAGAAUCGUCAUCGUUCGAAUAGGGCGGUGACCUGACGGUACCGCAAGAGGAAGCCCCGGCUAACUUCGUGCCAGCAGCCGCGGUAAUACGAAGGGGGCAAGCGUUGUUCGGAAUUACUGGGCGUAAAGGGCGCGUAGGCGGCUUACCAAGUCAGGCGUGAAAUUCCCGGGCUCAACCUGGGGGCUGCGCUUGAUACUGGCGAGCUUGAAUACGGGAGAGGAUAGUGGAAUUCCCAGUGUAGAGGUGAAAUUCGUAGAUAUUGGGAAGAACACCAGUGGCGAAGGCGGCUAUCUGGCCCGUUAUUGACGCUGAGGCGCGAAAGCGUGGGGAGCAAA
rnacentral:rRNA from 1 species